UACCAGCACCCCGAGUGGUCGGGACGAUUAUUGGGCCUAAAGCAUCCGUAGCCGGUCCUACAAGUCUUCCGUUAAAUCCACCUGCUUAACAGAUGGGCUGCGGAAGAUACUAUAGGGCUAGGAGGCGGGAGAGGCAAGCGGUACUCAGUGGGUAAGGGUAAAAUCCUCUGAUCCACUGAAGACCACCAGUGGCGAAGGCGGCUUGCCAGAACGCGCUCGACGGUGAGGGAUGAAAGCUGGGGGAGCAAACCGG
rnacentral:rRNA from 1 species